rnacentral:tRNA from 1 species
GAGGAUGUAGCUCAGUGGUAGAGCAUUUGCCUGACGUUGCAAGGUGCUGGGAUCAAUUCCCAGUGCUCCUA